CCUUGUACAUGUGAUAACCAAGUUUUGGUGUUAUCCUAAAAUACAGCAAACAAGAAAGGAAAAUAGCAACCAAACAAUAAUAUUUGAAUUUGAAUUUGUGCGAAUGUUACAAUCUUUAUGAAAUCUUUAAGAAAAGAUAUGUAAUCCCUUGAUUCUUCUCUUCACAAUUGUUCUUGACUAGAUGAAAUACUUGCGGCUCAUCAC
rnacentral:lncRNA from 1 species